GCCGACCAUUUUUUUUUUUUUUUUUUUUUUUUGGUGCCGCAUAUUUUUACCGAUAUCCGUUCAAUAACGGCGUGUAGUAUUCUGGUUCCCGCGUAUUAUUCGUCACGUGUAUCGACUAUCAAGUACCGCCGGGUAAAAGUCGAUUGUGUACACAUCCGUUACAAGUUUGCAAAACGAAAGUUAGAAGAUCUUCAAGAAGACGAGUAUUUUAUCAUCUCGUCAACAUUUAUUAUUACGUUUAUUCAACUUUGUUGAAAAAUAACCUCCACGAGAAUGAAUUUGUCUGGGCAUGGGUCGAUCUGUUGAAUGACGUCGAGGAUUUUUACCCGAAAAAAAUCGGACGUUCUUAUGGGCUUUAAGAAUAGUCUUCUAGUGGCUCAAAAUGCAAGGCACUGAAUGCGGAUAAACCAAGGUGUAUUUACUCCAAGAAUAAAUUGACAGGGAAACAUGAUCUCUAAAACACAACCUUGAGAAAUUUGAUUACAACUGUGUUUCAGUCAUUACAGUUGAUGGAGAUGCUCUGCAAGGGAGAGUGUUUGUAUGACUGCAGAUGUCAUGCCAAUCUCACGUGGAGUUACCUUACUGUGCCUCCAACAUUGGACGACCAGAUAUUUGUGCCCAUUGUGAUGAGCCAGAAGCACAGAGAAAUCCAGAACUGUUAACAAAGUUUAGGAUUGUACUUCCAGUUUAUGAGCAAUGCAUCAAUGUCCACAAGAAAGACAUUCCCCAUAGAUGUCCUAUAAAAAAUGAAUACUGUGAACCUAAAUUUUGUUGGUAUACUGUGGCUUAACUGUUUACUUGUCUGAAGUUGCUUAGUGUUUGAAGUUGUUUUUCUGGUUGUGUUACUAACUAUUCAUUUCAGUGAAAAUAAAAUGUAAGCAGACUUUAAACUGUUGAUGUAUAAUGAUGCCUUUUGUUGUUCAGUAGUUAUUUUGCAUAAUAUAUUUGAGUAUAUUUGUGUGUUUUAGUCAUCCUCUCACAUGUUGGGUGAAUGUUUGAAAUUUUGCUUUUGUU